ACUGUUGCUACACACAAACACACAUACACACACACACACACACACACACACACACACACACACACACACUCCAGGAGCUUCACAAAGAGGCUGGCAGGGGAUCCUCAUUCUCCUCAAAGGGCCAGGUACUUUCAUUGUGGAGGGUGGCCUCUCACCACUGCCACAGAUUGGGAUGGCUCCUCCCAGAACAUCCACAUGAGGAAGCCAGCCCCCUCUUCACUUCCUGCCACGCUGCCUUCCUCAGAACUCUGCAUCUCGAGGCUCCCCACCCCCUCACUUCUUUAUCAGCUUCCUUUUAUGUGAGAGCUUUCCGAUUAGAAUAUAAGAUAUCUGAGGGCAGGGACUUGGUUUGGGUUUGUUUAGAUUUCUGGUGCUUAGUCCGGCACGUAGCAAGCACUUAAUGUUGGCUGACUGAUUUUCAGCUAGAUAGGCCCUUAGAGGAUUAUAGGAUUUAGAGCUAGAAGGGAAAAAUCCUUAACUCCAACCCCUUCCUUUAACAGCUGAGGAAACUGAGGCCCAGAGAGAAGUGAUUUGCCUGAGGUCCCAGGGCUAAGACCAGAUCUCAGAUCUUGUGUCUUCGAAGUCCAUUGCUUUCCCAGUAAGCCCAAGCCAUCCCUGCCCAAGAUCUGGUGAUUGAAAGGAAGAGUUCCCAUUACUCAGAUGGUUCCUCCCCAGGAGGCCCAGGGAAGAACCUGGCACGAGAGUCAGUAGGUGUGGCUUCCAAGCCCAGCUCCAACACAGUAGCCACCGGACUUCAUUUGCCUAAUCUGUGGUCUCCCCCAUCCUCCAAAGCUGUCUCUCCGUAUCACCGGAGGCCCAAUCCCCACUAGCUGUCUCCAAAUCGGUGAAGGCUGGGGAGAGGAAGACAGGGGAAGGAGAGUCUCCUCAACACCACCUCUUGUAAAAGGUAGCCCUCGCACCAUUUUUCCCAUUGUAUAGAGAGACAGUUCACGCUCAGAGAGGAAAUGACUUGCCCGGGUUACGCUGCUGAAAGUGACUGCUUUUUAAGCCGGAUUUCAACGCCUUGACUCCAGGUCCAGGGCUCUGCUCCUCCUUGUUCUCUACAAGUUUCCUUCGUCUUUUUGGGCUUUUCAGCCUGGGUGCCUAGAAUAGCACCAGACACAAAGGAGGAGCCUAAUCAAUGUUUGUGGCAAGAACUGGAACUGAAUGCAAAGAAAUUACUGUUAUCGAAAAGUUAGGAAAAGCUCCCUUCUUACACCUGCCAAGUGGUUUGCUUUCUCUAUCCGGAAUGAGUAAAGGAGGGGAGGGGGAGAGAUGACAUUUUCCUGAGGAAGCACGGCCAAACCCGACUUCUGGCUGAUUCCCCCAGCUGACCCUGAGGUGGGCCUUGGCUGUCACCCAUGCCCAGCAGGUGCUCCCUUCUUCUUUCCAAGCUCAGCUGGGGUGCCCCCUCCUCCAGGGAGCUUUCCCUGAUUCCCCACAGCUGGAGGAGGCAUUCUUCCCUCUGGGCUGUCCACGAGGCACAGUUUUCAGGAUGGGGCUACCCUCAACGGCAGAUACUCCUCAGGUCCACUCCCCUCCAAGGGAAUGGAAGGCCCUUGAAGGUGCCGGGCUGUGCAUCCCCAUGCCCUAAGCACAGUGCCCAGAUCAUUGGAGGCGCUCAGUCCAAGUUCGUGGAUUAAUAGAAGUUAUUUCAAAAAUUUAAGGUGCAGGAAAAAAAAAGAUGUAGGAUGAAGCUGGGAAAACCUUCCCGAGCCCCCUCAAAUCCGGUGCCCUCCCUUCAGUGGUGAGUUCCCAUUUAUCCUGUAUGUAACUUGGUUGUACAUACUGGUUUGCUUGUGUGCCAUUAGAUGUGUGCCAGGCACACAGCAGGAGCUUAAUAAAGGGUUAUCUGGCUAAUGGCAUGGAAGAGAGGAAGGGAGAGACAGCGAGUGAGCACACAAGUGAGAGGGGGCAAGAAGAAAGGAGAGAGGGACAGA